GGCUUUCCGCUUUUGGCGCGGCCUUUGUCUCUGGCUGCAGCCGGCGCUUCAGGUCUCGUCUUCACUGGUGUGUGUCCUAUUCUCCUGGAGGCCCAGACUCUGUGGCCCUGUGACCUGCAGGUAUUGGGAGAUCCACAGCUAAAACCCCAGGACCCCCUGGAAGCAUGGAAAUGUCUCCCUCUGAUGCCGAGCCGAAGCUGGACUGUACUGCUGCCAUCUCGGCUCACUGCAACCUCCCUGCCUGAUUCUCCUGCCUCAGCCUGCCCAGUGCCUGCAAUUGCAGGUGCGUGCCGCCAUGCCUGACUGGUUUUCGUGUUUUUUUGGUGAAGACGGGGUUUCGCUGUGUUGGCCAGGCUGGUCUCCAGCUCCUAACCGCGAGUGAUCCGCCAGCCUUGGCCUCCUGAGGUGCCGGGAUUGCAGACAGAGUCUCGUUCACUCAGUGCUCAAUGGUGCCCAGGCUGGAGUGCAGUGGCGUGAUCUCAGCUGGCUACAACCUCCACCUCCCAGCCGCCUGCCUUGGCCUCCCAAAGUACCGAGAUUGCAGCCUCUGCCCGGCCGCCACCCCGUCUGGGAAGUGAGGAGCGUCUCUGCCUGGCCGCCCAUCGUCUGGGAUGUGAGGAGCCCCUCUGCCUGGCAGCCCAGUCUAGAAAGUGAGGAGGGUCUCUGCCCGGCCACCAUCCCAUCUAGGAAGUGACGAGCGCCUCUUCCCGGCCGCCAUCCCAUCUAGGAAGCGAGGAGCGUCUCUGCCCGGCCGCCCAUCGUCUGAGAUGUGGGGAGCGCCUCUGCCCCGCUGCCCCGUCUGGGAUGUGAGGAGUGCCUCUGCCCGGCCGCGACCCCAUCUGGGAGG
rnacentral:antisense_RNA from 1 species